CCUACGGGAGGCAGCAGUGGGGAAUAUUGCACAAUGGGCGCAAGCCUGAUGCAGCCAUGCCGCGUGUGUGAAGAAGGCCUUCGGGUUGUAAAGCACUUUCAGCGAGGAGGAAGGUGGUGAACUUAAUACGUUCAUCAAUUGACGUUACUCGUAGAAGAAGCACCGGCUAACUCCGUGCCAGCAGCCGCGGUAAU
rnacentral:rRNA from 1 species